GCACAAUCUCGGGAGACGCCGGGCUGCGGCGACCCAAAGACGGCUCCGGCCAUGGCAGAGGUCGCUCUGCGGGGUCGGGAGGGGACCGGACGCGCGGGGUCCCGGCUGCCGGCCCGGCCGCCAUCUUGCGGCGGAGGGGACCAAGGGCCGAGUUGCGUCCGCGGGGACUCAGGGCCCAGACCCCGAAGCUAACCUCAAAGAGGGUUCCCGCCGCUUCCGACCGCCCCUCUCCCUCUUCUGGGGACCCCCGACCUGGCACAUUCACCAUUUCCCAGCUUCCGGGAUGUCCUGGCGUCUGAGCUACGGAUCUCCCGGUGCCUGCCGGUCACAGAGUAACAGAGGUUCUGUCUAUUCUCAGAACGCGAAGCCGCCUUGGCCUCCCAGAUGGAAGGACUGGGAGCCCCUGGUGAAGAGACUGAGCUCUUACUGCAGCCAACAAAGGCCACCGCCAAAUCCCGGAAGCCGCCCCUGCUCUCCGGCUACUCCCGAUUGGAGGAUUUCCACUCCGACGCCACUGAUUGGGUAAAGCUCCAGGCCCCGCCCUCUCACUCGUUCUGCUUUUUGAAUGGGAGACAGGCUCAUUGAGGUGGGGCCACCUGCUGAGGGUAUUACAGCUAAUUUAAGGGGUGAGCUUGGACUUGAAAUGCACUUGCUUUCCCGUACCUGGUUUUGCUUGUAUAAGGCAUCUUAUUAGCUAAUUAAGUUUAAGAAGGAGGGCAUUUGGGCACCUUUAAAACAACUUUUUAACCGUUCUAAUAACACAGGAAAGACCCUCAUCCCAUCCUUAGCACCUCUCAUCACACGGUACCCCACUGCUCAGGACAUAACUGUGGGACUGCAGAGGAAACUGCUGGGGUUUUUGGGGAGCAUGCAGGAGGCUUCAACAGCCAAGGUAACGGUGGCUUCCCUUGGGUGUCACUUAAAAUCUUGGGGUCAGGGACAUCUUUUAUCCAGUUGGCUCAGGGAAACUAACAGACAGGAGGAUUGUAAUUUUUUUUUUCUUUUCUGAAUUUCCAAGACAUAAAGGACUAUCCAAGCAUCCCAAAAGGCAUUCAAUUAUACAUAAGGCUGAGGGCCUCCCUGCUCUGGAGAGGGAUGGCCUGGCAGCCACCAGCUGCAGUGAGCUGAGAUAGUGCCACUGCAAUGGGCCUUAAACUUGCCCUCUUGUAGACAGGCCACCUCCACACACCCGCUUCUCACAUCGCAGGCUCUAACCCUCCGGUCCAUCAAGGUGGGCUGCCUUCUUCCCAUGUCAUUAGCUCUCCACAAGCAUCUAGUUAGCUCUAAAACCUACCACAGGAUAGCAAACGUCAGACCCUCCUCCACUCUCCCGGCACUGCACGCCUUCUGGGGAGUGCUGCCAAUCCCACCUCAACUGAAGGGACAAAUCUGGGCAGGUGCCCAGUCAGAUGUUCAGUGACCUAACAGGUCCAGCAUGCCCAGGGCCUGACCCCACAGCCUAGCACCCCUCCCCCACCUGGCCUUCAAUCCAGCCUUUCUUCUCCAAUGACGGGAUGUUCACCUGUGCCACAAUCCCAUUAGUCUAGUGACGAGGCCAGGUAAAUCCCAGCUGAGUGCCUGUGACUCCACCCUCUUACUUCCCACUCAGGUGACAUUACAAGCAUAACCUUGAAUUUGAGCUAAUUUAUACAUAUUCCUCUCCUAGUAACCUGUUUGACAACAGCCCUCACAAUCCAGAGACUGGGGCAGCAGGUUCCAAAACCUCACUUUAUUCCAAUGUGAAAUGAAGACAUGAUGGUUUAAAAAUGAGAAAAAGUUCCUGAUAAGCUGUGGGGGUGCUUCACUUGCCAGCUCAUGCCCAUUCCCUCUGAAACAAGGUGUCUGUUACCCAUAAACAACUCUCUGUAAAGCCCCAGGUAGAGGUCACAGCUGGACGUGGCUCCCUCAGGCUCACAGGGUAGCAAUCUCCUCCCCCAGUCCAGGCUUCCACAGCAGGCACUUGAGGAUCUCGGAGCUUUCCUUCUCGUGGUUCUCACCAAAAAACAGGGGAGAGAGCACAGGCAGGAAAGGAUUAGCUGCCCACAGCCUACAGGCGCAGCUCAACCCACCGGCCCUGCCACAGCCCACCUGGGCCUUAUAGAUGUUGUCAAAUUCCUUCUUCUGCUACAAGCCGGACCAGAACUCAGCUUUGCUCUC
rnacentral:lncRNA from 1 species